UUCCGGUUGAUCCUGCCGGACCUGACUGCUAUCGGAUUGAUACUAAGCCAUGUUAGUCUUUGUAGUAAUACAAGGCAUACGGCUCAGUAACACGUAGUCAACCUAACUUAUGGACGGGGAUAACUUCGGGAAACUGAUGAUAAUACCCGAUAGGUCAUUAUGCCUGGAAUGGUUUAUGACUAAAAUGAAUUUCGCCAUAAGAUGGGACUGCGGCCUAUCAGCUUGUUGGUGAGGUAAUGGCCCACCAAGGCUAUAACAGGUACGGGCUCCGAGAGGAGUAGCCCGGAGAUGGGUACUGAGACAAGGACCCAGGUCCUAUGGGACGCAGCAGGCGAGAAAACUUUGCAAUGUGCGAAAGCACGACAAGGUUAAUCCGAGUGUUUCCUGCUAAAGGAAUCUUUUGCUAGUCAUAAAACCACUAACGAAUAAGGGGUGGGCAAGUUCUGGUGUCAGCCGCCGCGGUAAAACCAGCACCUCAAGUGGUCAGGAGGAUUAUUGGGCCUAAAGCAUCCGUAGCCUGUUUUGUAAGUCUUCGGUUAAAUCCACGUGCUCAACAUGUGGGCUGCCGGAGAUACUGCAAAACUAGGGAGUGGGAGAGGUAGACGGUACUUGAUAGGAAGGGGUAAAAUCCUUUGAUCUAUUGAUGACCACCUGUGGCGAAGGCGGUCUACCAGAACACGUUCGACGGUGAGGGAUGAAAGCUGGGGGAGCAAACCGGAUUAGAUACCCGGGUAGUCCCAGCUGUAAACGAUGCAGACUCGGUGAUGCAUUGGUUUAUUGCCAGUGCAGUGCCGCAGGGAAGCCGUUAAGUCUGCCGCCUGGGAAGUACGUACGCAAGUAUGAAACUUAAAGGAAUUGGCGGGGGAGCACCACAAGGGGUGAAGCCUGCGGUUCAAUUGGAUUCAACGCCGGA
rnacentral:rRNA from 1 species